rnacentral:lncRNA from 1 species
GGACGACGCCACAGCUUGCCGAGGAACGCGUCGCUCUUGCGCAGCUCCCUCCAGCGUCGCUUCACGGCACGCGAGCUGCGACCGUCGUCGAGGCGCAGGCAGAGGCGGGCGAGCUCGGCGUCGUCGUCGGCGGUGAAAGGGCGGUGGAAGACGUCGCGGGCGAGGUGGUCCCUCCACCUGUCGCGGCACUGCGCGGGCGAGCGGCGGCUGCUGUGGCGCGGCAUCUGCGCCGCCACGCGGCGCCAGUGGCGGGAGCCGUGCUCCAUGGCGAGGCGCUCCAGGACGGCGUCCAACUCGGGCGUCCACGCUGGCGGGAGCCUGAUGCGGACGACGCACCUCCCGAGCGGCGGCGACGUCGCAGAUGAAGAAGCGAAGACGGAGGCGGCAGAGGAGGAGGAGGAGAGCUCCAUGUCCAUGGCGUGCGGCGUCAAUCGAAUCGUGGGUCGAAGGAAUAGUGAAGCUCCGACCACUAUACGCAUCGAGGCGUGGGGUGCCAGGAGCAGCACUUCGACCUUGGGUUUAGGUUUUGCUGGGCUUUACAACCAACGGUCCGACGUCGGGGAUAGUAAACCGCGAGCGUCCCCAUGGAAGGCGACGGCGUCCACCACCGUGGCCGGAGACAGCAUCGAUGACCGGGGGUGCCACAACUUCCUGAGGAGCUCAUCGCUCGUGCCGAUCUCCAUCCACCGGCGCUUCACGGAGCGCGAGCUGCGGCCGUGCACCGCCCUGCUGAUGUCCUUCCAUCGGUCGCCGCCGCCGCCGGGGCGCAGGACGAGGCGGCUCGUCGUCGUCGGCCGCGGUGAAGGGGCGGUGGAACACGUCGCGGGCGAGGUGGUCCUCCACCUGUCGCGGCACUGCGCUGGCGAGCGCUUGCGCGGCAUCUGCGCCGCCACGCGGCGCCAGUGGCGGGAGCCGUUCUCCACGGCGAGGCGCUCCAGGGCGGCGUCCUCCUCGGGCGUCCACGCCGGCCGGAGCCUGAUGCGCAGGACGACGCAGCACCUCCCGCUCGGCGGCGCGGACGACGGAGUGACGGCGGAAGCACAUUGA